UCCUUCAGCUCAGUCAGUAGAGCAUGAGACUCCUAAUCUCAGGGUUGUGAGUUCAAGUCCCACAUUGGGCAAAA